rnacentral:rRNA from 1 species
UACGUAGGGUGCAAGCGUUGUCCGGAAUCAUUGGGCGUAAAGCGCGUGUAGGCGGUUCGGUAAGUCCGCUGUGAAAGUCGGGGGCUCAACCCUCGAAUGCCGGUGGAUACUGUCGGACUAGAGUACGGAAGAGGCGAGUGGAAUUCCUGGUGUAGCGGUGAAAUGCGCAGAUAUCAGGAGGAACACCAAUUGCGAAGGCAGCUCGCUGGGACGUUACUGACGCUGAGACGCGAAAGCGUGGGGAGCAAACAGG